GCGAACACCCACGAAGGCGGCUCACGAGUAGAUUCGGUGUUGGUUGGUUCUCAGCGGUGGCGUUGUUCCCUGAACAAUUAUCAUUACUAUGUUGACAAAGGGCAUUUUGCCAAAAAGCCGCAUCCUUGUUCUUACUAGCGAGAUAGCGUCUCUCCAUCUCUGAUUUCAGUCUAUCGUGUCGCGAUUUUGGAUUUUCUGUUGCAUCAAUCUACCCUGGUGCAAUCUUUUGACAUCUCUACAUUAAGGGUUCCUUCCUGAACUCAGUCUAUUUAUUGCUUCCAUUCUCCGGCGGCCUCUCUUUCGGUUUCGACCUCCCUCGCUCUUUCUGCGAUUCCAGAAUUGUAAAGUUGAUAUGAAAACCAAAGUCGAGGCUUUUUUCAAGCUUCGGUACUUACUAUGUUCGAGGCAAGCAUUUGCAUCCAUUUUGAGAAACCAACCUUUAGAAGCUUCGCAAAACUUAAGGGUUGCCACUUGUUCAACUGUAAGUGCCAACCAAGUUGAAGGGGUGGGAAAAGGGACGUUAGCACAUGCCAAUGACUCUUCCGAAGUUUUUCGGAGAUGGGGUUGUACUGAUAAUGAUAUUGCGAAGAUCUUUGCACGUGGGCCUUCUUUGCGCAGGAGUGACUUGAAACAACUACAAAACAAACUCCAUCUUCUAAAAGGCCUAGGCAUCACAUCUCCUGACCUUGUUAAGAUCAUCAAUUGUCGCCCUCGGUUCCUCAAAUGUCGGAUCAACAACAACUUCCAUGACCGAAUUGAGUUUUUCUUAAAAAUGUUUGAAUCUAAGGAAGUUCUUAUUAAAGCCAUUGUAAGAAACCCCUCACUUCUUACUUAUGAUUUCCAUAAUAGAAUCAAACCAGUAAUUUCGCUGUAUGAAGAAAUGGGGCUUAGUAAAAAGGAUUUGAUUCUCAUGCUUAUAUCUCGCCCCACAUUGAUCCCAAGAAGUUCAUUUAAUGAUGAGAAGCUGGAAUACAUACAAAAAACAGGACUCUCAAAGGGUGAUAAGAUGUACAAAUAUGUUGUUACAAUUAUGGGUAUCUCACGGCUUGAAACAAUCCGUCAAAAGGUUGCCAAUUUGGAAAAGUUUGGUUUCACAGAUGAUGAGAUUUUUGCUCUUCUUGGACGAUCUCCCCUUAUCUUGACUCUAUCAGUUGAUAAAGUGCAAAGGAACAUGACUUUCAUCUUGUGCACGUUGAAGUUGCCUGCUAAAGUUAUUCUUAACUAUCCCUUUUUAUUAUAUUUUAACUUGGAAGCUGUCUUGAAGCCACGGGUGCUUCUCUCUGGAAAGAUGGAGGAAAUGGGUCUGCAUUUGCAGAUCAAAGGCCGUGCAAUGCUCAGGGCCCUUAGGAUGACAGAGAAAAGGUUCUUGAAGACAUUUGUAAACAGUCAACCGAAAGUUGUUGCUGAUGAGUUGAUGGAAUUCUAUCAAAGUGCAAAAGGCGUCAAGCGUUUGGCAGAAACCUCAAAGAAGAACUGUUGUAGGGGAUUUCCUUUCUGAACCUUGUACUCUUUUGACCUUUAUGAAGCUGAUCUAAGAGAUAUCUGGCGAGGAGGUUAAACCAAUUUUAAGGCACAGUCAUCCAGCGUGUGGCCGCACUACCUCUUCUACAAUGGAUGGAAGUGAAAGCUGUAAAUUGUUUGGAGGGUGAACCGAGAACAUGUAACACGUUGUCUACUUGUUGGCAUAAAUGAUUUGAACAUUGCCUUUCCAUAAGCUCCGGAAGAGUAUGGAGGUUAAUCUUUGGGAUCUUUGACGAUCAACAGAACGGCAGCCUCGGUUCAAACUUGGAGUUACAUCAGCAACCUUCCUUGAGUAAAGACGAUGAUUGAAAAUGGCGGCUGGCAUAAAUGGCCACCAGAAAUCACCUGGUGGCAGAAGCUACUUGGGAAAGGGAGG